rnacentral:hammerhead_ribozyme from 1 species
GCACUACUGAGGAGUCCCACAAUAGGACGAAGUGGCCUUCCAGUGC